CCCUGACAGGUGCGUCCCGUGCCUGACUUAACCCAAGACAGGAGAUCAUCAUG
rnacentral:sRNA from 12 species